rnacentral:antisense_RNA from 1 species
UGUAGGAGUGAGCCUGCUCGCGAUAGCGUUAUUCCUGAAAACACACUGCUGAAUGAAGGACCGCUAUCGCGAGCAGGCUCACUCCUACA